UGAAUAUGGGGGGACCAUCCUCCAAGGCUAAAUACUCCUGACUGACCGAUAGUGAACCAGUACCGUGAGGGAAAGGCGAAAAGAACCCCGGCGAGGGGAGUGAAAAAGAACCUGAAACCGUGUACGUACAAGCAGUGGGAGCACAGGUUUACCUGUGUGACUGCGUACCUUUUGUAUAAUGGGUCAGCGACUUAUAUUCUGUAGCAAGGUUAACCGUAUAGGGGAGCCGUAGGGAAACCGAGUCUUAACCGGGCGUUAAGUUGCAGGGUAUAGACCCGAAACCCGGUGAUCUAGCCAUGGGCAGGUUGAAGGUUGGGUAACACUAACUGGAGGACCGAACCGACUAAUGUUGAAAAAUUAGCGGAUGACCUGUGGCUGGGGGUGAAAGGCCAAUCAAACCGGGAGAUAGCUGGUUCUCCCCGAAAGCUAUUUAGGUAGCGCCUCGUGAAUUCAUCUCCGGGGGUAGAGCACUGUUUCGGCUAGGGGGCCAUCCCGGCUUACCAACCCGAUGCAAACUGCGAAUACCGGAGAAUGUUAUCACGGGAGACACACGGCGGGUGCUAACGUCCGUCGUGAAGAGGGAAACAACCCAGACCGCCAGCUAAGGUCCCAAAGUCAUGGUUAAGUGGGAAACGAUGUGGGAAGGCCCAGACAGCCAGGAUGUUGGCUUAGAAGCAGCCAUCAUUUAAAGAAAGCGUAAUAGCUCACUGGUCGAGUCGGCCUGCGCGGAAGAUGUAACGGGGCUAAACCAUGCACCGAAGCUGCGGCAGCGAACGUAUCACCCAAGACAACUUUACGGAGUUGACGAUUGACGGAGCGAAGCGACGUCAAAGCGUUCAUUAAAGUCGAGUUGGCUUAGGGAUACGUUCGUUGGGUAGGGGAGCGUUCUGUAAGCCUGUGAAGGUGUGUCGUGAGGCAUGCUGGAGGUAUCAGAAGUGCGAAUGCUGACAUAAGUAACGAUAAAGCGGGUGAAAAGCCCGCUCGCCGGAAGACCAAGGGUUCCUGUCCAACGUUAAUCGGGGCAGGGUGAGUCGACCCCUAAGGCGAGGCCGAAAGGCGUAGUCGAUGGAAACGGGUUAAUAUUCCCGUACUUGGUGUUACUGCGAAGGGGGGACGGAGAAGGCUAUGUUGGCCGGGCGACGGUUGUCCCGGUUUAAGCGUGUAGGUGUGUGUUCCAGGUAAAUCCGGUUCACUUUAACACUGAGGCGUGACGACGAGGCACUACGGUGCUGAAGCAACAAAUGCCCUGCUUCCAGGAAAAGCCUCUAAGCAUCAGGUAACAUCAAAUCGUACCCCAAACCGACACAGGUGGUCAGGUAGAGAAUACCAAGGCGCUUGAGAGAACUCGGGUGAAGGAACUAGGCAAAAUGGUGCCGUAACUUCGGGAGAAGGCACGCUGACACGUAGGUGAAGUGAUUUACUCAUGGAGCUGAAGUCAGUCGAAGAUACCAGCUGGCUGCAACUGUUUAUUAAAACACAGCACUGUGCAAACACGAAAGUGGACGUAUACGGUGUGACGCCUGCCCGGUGCCGGAAGGUUAAUUGAUGGGGUCAGCGCAAGCGAAGCUCCUGAUCGAAGCCCCGGUAAACGGCGGCCGUAACUAUAACGGUCCUAAGGUAGCGAAAUUCCUUGUCGGGUAAGUUCCGACCUGCACGAAUGGCGUAAUGAUGGCCAGGCUGUCUCCACCCGAGACUCAGUGAAAUUGAACUCGCUGUGAAGAUGCAGUGUACCCGCGGCAAGACGGAAAGACCCCGUGAACCUUUACUAUAGCUUGACACUGAACAUUGAGCCUUGAUGUGUAGGAUAGGUGGGAGGCUUUGAAGUGUGGACGCCAGUCUGCAUGGAGCCGACCUUGAAAUACCACCCUUUAAUGUUUGAUGUUCUAACGUGGACCCGUAAUCCGGGUUGCGGACAGUGUCUGGUGGGUAGUUUGACUGGGGCGGUCUCCUCCUAAAGAGUAACGGAGGAGCACGAAGGUUGGCUAAUCCUGGUCGGACAUCAGGAGGUUAGUGCAAUGGCAUAAGCCAGCUUGACUGCGAGCGUGACGGCGCGAGCAGGUGCGAAAGCAGGUCAUAGUGAUCCGGUGGUUCUGAAUGGAAGGCCAUCGCUCAACGGAUAAAAGGUACUCCGGGGAUAACAGGCUGAUACCGCCCAAGAGUUCAUAUC
rnacentral:rRNA from 1 species